rnacentral:rRNA from 1 species
UACAGGGACUGCGAGCGUUGUUCGGAUUUACUGGGCGUAAAGGGCGCGUAGGCGGCGUAACAAGUCACUUGUGAAAUCUCCGGGCUUAACCCGGAGCGGCCAAGUGAUACUGUUGUGCUAGAGUGCGGAAGGGGCUACUGGAAUUCUCGGUGUAGCGGUGAAAUGCGUAGAUAUCGAGAGGAACACCUGCGGCGAAGGCGGGUAGCUGGGCCGACACUGACGCUGAGGCGCGAAAGCCAGGGGAGCGAACGGG